rnacentral:sRNA from 1 species
UUUUUUUUUUUUGUUUCUUUCCUCUGGCGGCGCCGGCGGCCAGCGCAGCCAAGAGCAGCAGCGCCGGCCCACGCCGGCGCCGCACGAGCAGCAGCUCGGCGCUGCUGCAACGAGGCAGCAGCGCCUGGCUGCUGCCGCAGCAUGCUGCUGCAUUAUGCAGCAGCAGCCGCUGCUGCAGAUGCCGCCGGCGGGUGUGCCGCCGGCCAGAACUUGUACAAAAAAAAAUUUUUU